CAUGCAAGUCGAACGAGAACUCUUUAGCUUGCUAAAGAUAGUAAAGUGGCGCACGGGUGAGUAACGCGUGGGUAAUCUGCCUUUGAGUCGGGGAUAACUCCGCGAAAGCGGAGCUAAUACCGGAUAAUAUCUCAAGCGCUUCGGCAAACGAGAUCAAAGGUGGCCUCUACAUGUAAGCUACUGCUUGAAGAUGAGCCCGCGUACCAUUAGCUUGUUGGUAGGGUAAAGGCCUACCAAGGCGACGAUGGUUAGCUGGUCUGAGAGAAUGAUCAGCCACACUGGAACUGAGACACGGUCCAGACUCCUACGGGAGGCAGCAGUGAGGAAUUUUGCGCAAUGGGGGAAACCCUGACGCAGCAACGCCGCGUGAGUGAUGAAGGCUUUCGGGUCGUAAAGCUCUGUCAAGUGGGAAGAAACUGCUUUUUGCAAAUACCAUUAAGUAUUGACGGUACCACUGAAGGAAGCACCGGCUAACUCCGUGCCAGCAGCCGCGGUAAUACGGGGGGUGCAAGCGUUAUUCGGAAUCAUUGGGCGUAAAGAGCGCGUAGGCGGUCCCUUAAGUCAGAUGUGAAAGCCCAAGGCUCAACCUUGGAAGUGCAUUUGAUACUAGGGGUCUUGAGUAUGGGAGAGGGAAGUGGAAUUCCUGGUGUAGAGGUGAAAUUCGUAGAUAUCAGGAGGAACACCGGUGGCGAAGGCGACUUCCUGGACCAAUACUGACGCUGAGGCGCGAAGGCAUGGGUAGCAAACAGGAUUAGAUACCCUGGUAGUCCACGCAGUAAACGAUGAACACUAGUGAAGCGGGUAUUGACCCCUGCUGUGCCGCAGUUACGCAUUAAGUGUUCCGCCUGGGGAGUACGCGCAAGGCUAAACUCAAGGAAUUGACGGGGCCGCACAAGCGGUGGAGCAUGUGGUUUAUUCGACGCACGCGAGAUCUUACUGGCUGACAU
rnacentral:rRNA from 1 species